CUUUGAGUUUCAUCCUCAAUUUUGUCUUGUAAAAUCGCAGGAUUCUUCUGAAGUUCUUCUUAGUGGCACUGUUGGAGCUGAUGGACUCUACAGAUUUGUCAAUCCUUCCUCACCUUCCUCCUCUACUCCAUCUCAGUCCAAGUCUCAGUUCAAGUCUUUUAGCUCUAGCCCUAGCUCUUGUAAUAGACUUAGCUUAAACUCUAAUUUCUCUUAUAAUACAGCUGCCACUUGCAACUGGUUUCCCUCUUGUAAUUCUGCCUCUUACAUAAAUAAAAGUAUUCUUAAUUCUCUCAGUACAUUGAAUCCUAUUGUUAAUGUCUCUCACUCUAAUCCUUCUAACAUAAAUCAUCCAAUGACCUGUCAUUCCCCUAUUUCCACUAGCAAGUAUGCUCUAUGGCAUACAAGACUUGGGCACCCUCAUCAUUAUGUUCUUAUAGAAAUUCUUAAAGCCUGCAAUAUUCUUAUCCCUCACAAACCUUCCCUUGAUUUAUGUUCUGCCUGUUGUCUUGGCAAAUCACACAGACUCCCUUCAUCUCUGUCCGCUACAGUUUAUCAUAACCCAUUUGAACUUGUUGUGUAUGAUCUAUGGGGUCCUUCACCCAUUCUUUCCUCAGGUAGCUACUCCUACUUUCUCACAUGUGUUGAUGCACACUCUAGAUUUGUAUGGGUGUUUCCUUUUAGGCUGAAAUCUGAUACUCUCACCCAAUUCCUUCACUUCAAAUCUAUGGUAGAACUCCAGUUUAAUUGCAAGAUCAAAACUGUUCAAAGUGAUGGUGGUGGUGAAUUCAAACCCCUCACUAAGCACCUCACUGAAUUGGGCAUCAUUCACNUUGGUUGAUUCUGUAGUUUUAGGCACCCAAAUAUUGUGUUUUCAUUAUAUCCCCUACAUUUGUACUUCAUCUCUAUAUGCUUUCCUAAAGUUUUGGUGACCUAUUACAGGAACACGUGGUCGCUGCAAGAUGAAGUUGAUUGAAUCCAUUAAAAUCCUUUACAUGCUAAAUUUGCACAUUAUACAUUAACAUUUGUAAUUGACAUGGAAAAUUCUUUACAUGCUAAAUUUGCACAUAUACAUCAACAUUUGUUAAUUGACAUGGAAAAAGGUUCUGUUAACCUCUCUAUAAACUCCAACACUUGAAAAUGAGAAGAGAGAAACAAGGUUAAAAAAUGAGAUGUUGGAAGAAGGGGGAAAUGAAGUACCCACAUUGGCAUUUAGUGUAAAUACAUGUUAGUAUUUAUAUAGUUUAUUCAUACUUCAUUAAAUGUACUUCAUUUGGAUGGUAAUUGGGCCUUUAGUCCAAAUACUUUCUUUUUAAAAUUUGCCGACUAAUUAAUUUCUUAAAUAAUUAUUUAAAAAGAUAAUAAACUAUUAAUAAAUAAUUAAUAUUAAUGAAUAAAAAGAAUAUUAAUAUAAAUAUCCCAUUUCAGCAAGUGGCCACGUCCUUAAAAAUAUUGUAUUUUUAUCUCAACAUCAUUGCCACGUAUGUAAAGUGGAAAGGUCCCAUUAAAAUCCACAAAAGGCCAUCAAAUUAAGAGAUCAAAUCGCAGGUUUUGUUGAUAGGAGGAUCAAUUGUUUAAAACGCUUCAAACUAGGGGAUCAAAAGUGCGCUUAAGCCCAUAAAAAAAAUCCACGACAAUCUCUCUUGAUCCUACCGAUUACUGAGCUAAGGGUGUACUGUGGUCGGUUUGCGUUGGGAUUGCGUCAAACCCAAUACCCAAUCCAUAAGGACCUCCGACUUGAGUAGGUAAAAUAACUUGUACACCAAUGGACAACACCACUAAGUUUUCGCGUUUGAAGUUGGAUUGAACUUAAUGGGGUUUGCCCAAAUAAUUUUCUUUUAUUAUAAAAGUUAAAUGACUAAAUUAAUGAUCAUCAUAUUUUUUCAUAAAGAUGAUUUAAUAUUUUUAUUUUUUUAUUUUUAAAUAGAAUAACUUAUUUUUAUUAUUUUUAGCAUCGUUAAAAUAAUAAAUAUGAUUUAUCAACUUAAAAAAUUAUCAUAAAAUACUAGUAACAAAUUAAAGUUGUUUGAUAAUAAUUGUAUUAGCAUCAAAAUAACUAAAAAGUGAAACAUUAAAUAGUUAAAGUUAUUAGUUUAUUAAUAAUAAAUGCUAGAGACUAAAAUUGAAACAACUAAGUUAAUAUUCAUCAAAAUCAUUAAAAUUGUAAUAAUAAAUGUUUUGAUUGUGGGUAGUGGGUUUUUUUGUUAAUGUUUGGUUUCAUCCAAAAUCCAAUUUUUUUAAUGUAUUUUUUAAUUUUUAAAUCAUAUCCGCCAAAUUAUCCGACCCAACCCAUUUUUAGGAUUUUUAUGGAUGAGUUUUGACCGGAUUUUGUGGUUGACCCCAUCCAUGUACACCCCUAACUGAGCGAUGAACUGUACGAAGAUUGAGAAGAACUCCUACCAUGUCGGUAGGCUUCCACACAACACUAUCAAAGUCAACCGGGAAAGAAGAACCUCAUUCUUUCAUUGGAAUUUGUCACCACCAGUCACACUACCAAGAUCUUGCAAUUCUCUUAAAAAUCUUCACACUCUUCAAAGAAACAUUAUUCCAAGACAAGUUUUCCUCAAACAUCACAAAAAUUUAAUCAAGAUUUGAAUCCAUUAAAUAAUGAACAAAACGUGAGGUUUGAAGAUGAAAGAAUUUUGUUUGCAAGAGAUUUGAGUUGUCAAAAAUGGAAGUUGUUUUCACGUAGUUACGUACGUUAUUGCUUGUUGUGUAAAAAUGUGAGGUGAAAAGACUUAUAAGUGUUGGAUAUAAGACACCAAAAAUAGGUGGAAGUGGUUGUUUGAUUCGAGUAAAGAACAUUUGUUGAUUUGAGUCAAGGUGAACAAGUAGAUUGGAACAAGAUCAACAUAAAGUUAAGUUAAUCAUUUUCCUAUGAUUCGAGUCAAGUUAUACUGCGAUUCAAGUCAUAAAAGGUCAUGUUUAGAGUCAUUGUAGAAAUUUAUGUUCAAAUCAAAUGGACAAUGGAACAAGAAAAUGUUGAAGAAACUGUGUGAUUCGAGUCAUGUGUAAGCGGUAAUUCGAAUCAAAUUUGGCAGAGGCUAACAAGAACCAUAUGAUUCGAAUCAGGUUACACUUGAGAUUCGAGUAACAAAUGUAAAAAAAAUCUGAAUUUCUGGAUUUUUUUUUCUGAAAAUUUCGACUAUUUCUUCAAAAAACAAUUCGAAAAAUCAUUGAGUUUUUUUCGAAAUUUUGAAAAAUUCCGGUAUUUUUUCCCGAAAAUUUCAGUAAAACGCAAUAUAAAAUCCCAUAAAAAUUUAGGAAGGACAUAAAAGUAAUAGAACCGCCCAACCGCUAUAUUUUCCCAAUAUUAAGGAAUUUCGUAUCCCAUCCUAUAGGAUGGUAAAACACCAUGUAGAAAACCCAAAAUGCCGCUCAGAUUCGGAGGUGCAUCUCCGGACAUACCACUUUCUUAGUUAAAACGUUACAAUUGAUCCGGAAAUGCAUCUUCGAACAUUUCAAAACACAUUCCAUGCACUCCAUUGAGCCACACUAACAUAUUUUGUAAACACGAAUCUGGAGAUACAUCUCGAAAUUUUUCAAAACACACCUCAUGAUCCUAUUGAAAGAUCCAUUUUAAACAUUUGUUGAUUCUGAAGAUGCAUCUUUGUUAUUGGUUUACGGAGAUGCAUCUUCGUAACCAGUCAAAACAGGCAAGUUAAGUUAGUUUUAUGGUUACUCAAAUGAAAAUGCCGAUUUAUAAAAUGUUAAGGCCCUUGUUAUAUGAUGAGCAUUAAACCAUACAACCGAUAUGCAAAAACUGACAUAUAUAAUCUGGAGUCAAAAUAAGUCACCAUGGCAUACAUAAAAAAUAAAAAUAUACACAAUCUGGAGUCGAAACAUACAUUGAAUCGAAAUACACAAUAAAGGCGAAAUAUACAAGCGUCCAGAGAUGUAUCUCCGUAAUAUUUACGAAGACUCAUCUCAUAGUGUUUUUCACAUUAAGUCAGAUUUCUAUUGAUUUAAAAUGCGUCCGGAGAUGUAUCUCUGAAUCUAAAAACCAUUUUUUAUAUUUUCACGUGGUGCUCUAGUAAUAGUAAUACAUAGAGUGCAUUAAGAAAUUCCCAAUUAUUAUGCCUUUCACUUUCAAAAAGCUCCUCCUUUAGGCCCAACAAAAACCUAAAAAUGUGAUCAUUUUCUUGCCUUUUAAUGAAUAGAACACUAUUUUUCAACACACCUUCAAUUGUCAUCACAACAAAGAUUCAAUUCUUGCCAUGUCAUCAUAUCCUUAUAAUAGGUGGUAAAAUCUUGCAGCCUUGUCCAACAUGUCAUAGCUUUGAUUUUAACCCAAAAAUUUAAGAGCAAUUUUCAAUGUCAGAGUACGUGUCUCUGACGGCUUUAUUGGAAUUUCUUUGUAGAUAGUAAAAACAUGAAGUCUUGGCUAUUAUCGGUUCCAAAGGGUAACUAACAGAUCAAUUUUUAACGAUUUUCAGACUUCCAUUGUCUAAAAUAAGAAUCACCGGUUGGUUUUUCCUUGAUUCCCUUUGGAAAUCUAAACUUUCUCUUGCCUUGUAUUACCAGACGGACAUUUUGGGCACAUUUGGUUACAAGUUUUUCCAUUUAGUCAUGGAACAUUGACCUCAAGAUAGUUUGAGAGUGUCUCGUGGUCAUUAAACCGGUGCUGAGGUUGUUGUUCAUUAAUCAAAGAUAGUCAGACUCGAGAUCCUACGUAAGAUCAGGUUAGGAUAAUUAGAUCGUGAAUCAGAGGAUCAUAACACGAAUAGUAAGGAUCCUACCAAAAUUUAAAAAUUCAUAUAUAUUUUACAUAUAGAUUAAUAAUAUGCAUAUCACACAACAUAAUAUAAAAAUAAAUUCAAAUAACACUAAAAUUACUUUAGAAAAACUGAAAUUUCAUAGGAUUAAUAUUCAUUGAAACUAAUUCAAGACAAUUCAAAACAACACAACAUUUCAAACAGUGAGUAUUUUUUUAAAGUUACACUAUCAUGAUGUAUUUUGGGAACUUAAAUAAAUCCUUAAUUAUUGGGUGACUGAGUAUUGACUACUCCUAGUUAUUAUCAUUUUCCUGUUAUUAGGCAGAAAAUAAUGAUUUUUAAACUUCUUUUUUUUAAGUUUUAUUGAACCAGGUCGCAGACCCGACCAACGAACCCGGAUUCAUUGGGGAUUUAAACAAAAAAUGGUAUUUUUUAACAUAAAUAGCAAUUCUACCAUUUUCACUUGAUAUCACGGAGAUUCUGGUCGUGCCUACCAAAACCGAUUCUUGAUCAUUCUCUGGCACUGUGGGAGUUGCAAGAUCGUAAAAUCGUACGAUCCUACGAGUAGGGAUCGCGAUUUUGACUACCAUGGUCAUAACCACCUUUGAGCGUUGUCAUGGGCAUCUCCAGCACUGGCGUCACCUCCAACACUCGCGCCAAUGUUUCCUCCUUGCAACGCCACCAGUGACACCUUCCUCUGCCGCUGCCGGUACUGUGUCCCACACUAAUUCCGACAACCACAUUUGUCGCCACCUACACCCUCAUGCACCGUCUCCAGUCACCUGUGACGUCAUCACGGGUAUUGUCAUGGGAAAGCAAGUGAGGUUGCCUGCAAGUAUUUGUAUUAGAGUUGCUUUUGUAUAGAGAUUUGUUUUAUUAGGGCUUAUAUUAUGUGUUAUCACUAAGUAUAGUUGUAUUUAGAAUUUGUUAGUGUUGUACAGCUGGCAUAGAAUUUGUUAGUGCCUAGCCUUAUCAAUUUCCUUAUAUAUAUGGAUCCUUGUACUAUGCAUUCUUGAGGAAAUACAAUAACAGAAUUUCUUCUUUUCUCUUGCUUAUCCUUCUAACAUUGGUAUCUUGAGCUUUUUUUCUCUUUUCUGAUCUCAACGCUUCCAUGGCGGCACCGUUCAGCACUAACGGUGUUUCCCUUCAUCUUCAUGGUGAAACUUUCACAUCUCAUUCCGUCAAAUUAGAUGAGAAAAACUUUAAACAGUGGAAACAGCAGACGAAGGCGUGAUUCGUGGUCAUCGUCUUCAAUGGUUCGUUACGUACCGUGCGUUCCACCCGUCUUCUUCUCGGUGUCGUCCAGUCACCGGCGGUCCUAAUUCCUGACUAUUCUUUGAUUGGGAACAGCAGGAUGCGCUUAUUUGCACCUGGUUGCUCUCCACUAUUUCCGACUCUCUUCUCCCGAACUCGUCGACUUGCACCUACUUCAUGGCAAGUUUGGUCGGAGAUUCACCGCUACUUCAAUUACUCUGCUUACCACCAAAGUGCGACAGCUGCGAUCUGAUCUUCGCAAUCUGAGAAAAGGUUUUGUGCUCCAUCACUGACUUCGUUGUUCAUGUUUGUGACAUCAGUGAAGCGUUGGUGUCCAUCGGAGAUCCAGUUCCUCUCCGUAAUCUUAUUAGGUAGUCUUGAUGCUCUUCCUGAGGACUACGAUCUUAUUGUUGUUGCGCGAUCAACAGUAAAAGACGACUUGUGUUUCUCUUGAUGAACUUGAGUCCAAUCUCCUUGCGCACGAAUCGCGACUUUAGAAGAAUCGCAAGGUUGUGAUCACUGAACGAUAUCUGUUAAUAUGGCUCAAGCUCCACCAUCUUCAGUCGUCGCACUCGACUGAACAUUCUGGUUCUAAUUCCACCUCUAAAUUUCCCACUGGUACAGCCUUGUAAAUGCUAAUAUCGACACUCAUGGCACUGGUUCUCGUGGAGGUAGACAUGGUCGCGGUGGUGGUCGUUAUUGGUCGCGGGUGGUGGUCGGUUUUGGAAAGGUUCCUUGUCAGAUUUGCCAUAACCUGGACACGAUGCCUCCGUGUGCUAUCACCGUUACACUUACUUGAGCACCUGCUUAUCAGCUCCACGAGCUCCCUUCAAUCCUUACACACUGGCUCACAUCCUUAUUUCAUCCAUCCUUUGGAUACUCCCACUCCACGGCCAACACCACCCAGGCAGCAGCAACCAAGCUUUUCUAGCAGAUCCGACCCUAGCUUUAACAAUCAGUGGUGGUACCCUGAUUCAGGUGCGUCUCAUCAUGUUACUCCUGAUGCUUCAAAUGUGUCUGAUGCUUCCUCCUUGUCUGGUGCAGAACAGGUGUUUAUGGGAAAUUGGUCAAGGUUUGUCUAUCAAUUCUGUAGGCUCUAUGAAUUUUCCUGUUGUCUAAUUAUUCCAAUUCAUCCCUAAUCCUAAACAAUCUCUUGCUUGUGGCACAUAUCACCAAAAAUCUUAUGAGUGUCAGUAAAUUUGCACAAGACAUCAUGUUUUCUUUGGAGUUUCAUCCUCAAUUUUGUCUUGUUAAAAUCGCAGGAUCUUCUGAAGUUUUUCUUAGUGGCACUGUUGGAGCUGAUGGACUCUACAGAUUUUGUCAAUCCUUCCUCACCUUCCUCCUCUACUCCAUCUCAGUCCAAGUCUCAGUUCAAGUCUUUUAGCUCUAGCCCUAGCUCUUGUAAUAGACUUAGCUUAAAC
rnacentral:lncRNA from 1 species